AUAAUGGAGAGUUUGAUCCUGGCUCAGGACGAACGCUGGCGGCGUGCCUAAUACAUGCAAGUCGAGCGGAACCAUUGGAGCU
rnacentral:rRNA from 1 species